GACGAACCGUCCGAACGUUAUUCGGAAUCACUGGGCUUAAAGGGUGCGUAGGCGGCGCGGAAAGUUGGUUGUGAAAUCCCUCGGCUCAACCGAGGAACUGCGCCCAAAACUACCGUGCUCGAGGGAGAUAGAGGAGAGCGGAACUUAGGGUGGAGCGGUGAAAUGCGUUGAUAUCCUAAGGAACACCGGUGGCGAAAGCGGCUCUCUGGAUCUCUUCUGACGCUGAGGCACGAAAGCUAGGGUAGCGAACGGG
rnacentral:rRNA from 1 species